rnacentral:lncRNA from 1 species
CUUGAACCAGGGAGUUGGAGGUUGCAGUGAGCCAAGAUCGCGCCACUGCACUCCAGCCUGACAACAAAGUGAGACUCCAUCUCAAAAAAUAAAAAAAAAAGAAAGAAAGGAAGAAAGAAAGAAAGAAAGAAAAAGAACGAAAAGAAAGAAAAAAUUGGCAAAAAUUAGUUUGUUAAUAUCAAAUGUAAAGCUAUGGGAAAUAAGUAGCCCCCCCCAAAUUUAAACAUUACAUGUCUAAUGACCAGUUUUAUUUCUUAUUAUUAUACACUCAGAUUUAAUACCACGGUUAAGAACAAGAGGAAUAAACAGAGAUUUUCAUGGCAAUAUUGUUUAUUAUAAAAAAUUUGAAAACAAAUUAUAUUUCCAUCAUUGGGAAAAUAACUAAACUACAAAUAAAUUGCAUGCAUAGUAUAGCAUACACUAUAUAAGGUUAAAAAGUGACACAGAAAAGUCUCCAAAGGGAUUAUGAUGGUGAGAGAAGGCAGUAGGAAGCAAUUAUCAUAAUAAAGCAUUUAGCAUGAUGAAGUAUCCAUCAGAAACACAAACACACACAGCAACACUGUACACUUCUCUAAAUAGUUGCUUGUAUGAGUACAUGUGUAUUUAACACAUUAAAAAGCCUAAAAAUAUACCUGUUAAAUGAUAAUCUGGGAUAAAAAGAGGUAUUACAUGUAGUAGUCAAAAAGCAUUUAACCUUAACCUAUAAUAUUUCAUUUUUUAUCAGUGACAAUGCAUUCUACAUUGCUUGUGUAAUUCUAUAAAUAUUACUAUACAAACCAGUGCUAAAAUGAAUUAUAAUAUGGGAAUAAGCAUGCAUAUGGGGUCUGUAUAUGCAUGCUAGGAGGCCACUUAGUGGAAUGUAGUGGGUGCCUCUUAUUUUUGUACACAGCAUCCCUUUCUCCUUUUCCAGUUAAUAGGACAAUUAAAUUCCUUUUUAUAGUUUUAUUUUGCAUAAACUAAUUCAAAUUGGGUUUGUGUCAUUUGUAACUGAACAAGUCCUUAUUUUCUAACACAUUUUCCGUUUUGUUGUCAUUGUGUUUUAAAAAUGUAAAAACAGCACAUUACUAUGCAACUUCCAGUUUAUCUUGAAGAAAUGAGUCACCACCCAAGUAUGGAGCAUGAGCUUUAUCUCACGGGAUUGGAAAGGCAGACUGGGAAAGGAAUGACACUUUGGAAAUUUACUUUGAGAAAUGUCUGUAUUAUUAAACAGAAUAAGGUUUUCAUUUCUGUAUUCUUUCAGCAAAGCUACUAAUCUGAGCAACGUGGAAUUAAAAUUGUAGACUAAUAAAAGGUAAGAUAUAUAAGAGUAAAGUAUAUAAGAUUCUAACAAUAGAGAUUUUGAUAAUGGGUAGUUGCUUCUUAUUUCCCUUCUGUCAACAGCCACGCCUCGAGAGCCCAGCUCCGGGACCCUGGCACCAGGGGAAGCUCCCAUGACAGAUUACUGUGGUCUCUUGCAUGCUGCUAUAGAUUGCAAUACUGAGACCAUGAUAACCUGCCACUCCCCAAAAUAUUCUUGUCUUGCCUACUUGCUCAAAUAUUGGAGGAUCUGAAGAAAUUACGAAGAAGUUUUGAUCCUUAGUAAUCAGUGAGGAUUGUCCAGAAAAAUAGAACCAAUAGGAUGUGCGUAUAUAUAUGUAAAUGAAAGAGAUUUAUUUUAAAGAAUUGGCUUAUGAGAUUUUCCAGACUUGGUGUGUCCAAAUUCUGAUGAGGAAGCCUGGAAGGCUGAAGACUUAGGAAAGAGUUGCAAUUUGUGUCCAAAGGCAGUCUGCUGGUGAGCCAGGAAGAACUGAUGUUGCAGAUGAAAUCUAAAGGCCCACAGUAGUGGUAACCCCACUUUCCAGGCCCACCAUGUUGGCAAUCCCACCCUUUCUGCUCUGAGAAGAGGGCCAGUCCCUCUGAAUCCAAGGAGAUGACCCCACUCUCUGGAACCAAGCAGGAGAUGGUCCCAUACACAGACUCAGAGUUCACCUCCUCCAGGAAGCCUUCCUUGAGACGCCAUUGCUCACCUGGCUCUACUUGCUUGACCAGAAGUACUUUAAAGAUUAUAUCUUUACAUUUUGUAUCUGCAGGACUUGAAAUAUAAUGAACAUUCCAGACAUAAUUGAUGAAUAAAAUAACAUCCAAUCCCUUCAUUUUAUAGAUUGGUUGAUGAAGACCUUGGACUUUUGGCCAAGAUUGAACAUCUACAGUGGAGAUUAUUUAGUGCUGUUUUCUAUUCACAGGCCUAGCCACUCCAACCUGUCUGUUGUCUUUACAUCAUAGGACUUUACCCAAGGUGCACUCUAUAAUACAUGCCAGUCCAAAUAUACAUUCUGACAGACAAUCUAGCUGCCCACAUCUGUCAGAUGGCUCUUUCUGUGACAACUGAGGAUAAGAAUUUUUUUCUUUAAGAAUUAGAGCUAAAUAUUAUGAAAUAUAAUCUAGACUUCAAGAAACUUUGACAGUUACCUGUAUCACCGUCUGUGGAUGAAUAAAAAUCUCUUUGACAUCUAAGACAAAAUGGCCAUUCACCAUCUAUCUGAAAAUUCUAGUGAGGACAGCCAUACUUUCUGAGGCAUGUUGAAUGGCUAACAUUUUAGAAUUCUUCCUUACAUUGGCUGAAAUAUGACUGAAGUUUCACAGAUUUACCCUUAUUCCUCAUGAUAAAAGUACAGAAGUUUGUUAAGUGUCCUUGGUGACAGGUUGGUCAAGAUUGGACCUUCCAUAGGAUUACUUAGUCUCACAUCCCCUCAUGGCUACGGAUCUCAUAAGGAUGGGUCUGAACAUCAAAAAUAUCACUGUUUUUAUUCAGGUACUGACAGCGCCAUAUAAAUAUGGCUUAAAGCAUGGCUAUAAGAAGAGUGAAUAUUCUAAUGACCUGUCUUGAGUGAAGCUGAUGAGACUGUAUUUUGAGUCUUACUGUACCUGUUAAGGCUAUGCAGCGUAUUUAGAGAGAAAUGUGGAAUUUGUUAUAUAAAGGUAAGUUUAAAUAGGGUGCUAAUAUCUAUGAAGGUCAACUUUGUUAAUUCAACACAAAUAAAAAUCCAAGCCAUGGUCAUUCAGCACACAUAAAGUCUAAGUAAUUUCAAAUAAAAUUACUGCUUGGCUGAAUGCUUAAGCAAUUUUGGAUUGCUGGAGUGAAUCAAAGAAUACUCAUAAUGUAAGCUCAUUAGAUUCACAGAGAGAUAUGCUGAUUUAAUUCAAGUGUUCUGCUGUCCAUUUAAACUUCACCUUCUUUUCUUACUUUGGAUUACUAGAUGUUUUUGUUAAUCUUAUUUGACAAGCUGCAUCUAGUCUUAUGAAUUUAACCUUUUUGUGAAUUGUCUUUGCUAUUAAAAAUUCUGUAACUGUCAAUCACUUGAAUCAUGUGGAGUUAUGAAAAAUGUCUGAUCCUUGAAUGUAUAUCUUUUCUCUCUCCAUCUGUAAUAUCUUACUAUGUACAGAAUAAAUUAGAAACUUAUCUGUGAUGUUAAUAUUUCUGAUAGCUUAAAUAUGUCACUUUACAUACGAUUUAUAUGUAAAAUGAUUUCUAAAUAUGAUAAAAUGUAUCCCAGACUUAAUAGAGGUUUAGCUGAUAUUUUGGCUCAGCUUUUAUUUUUUUAAUUAAUUAAUUAAUUAAUUAAUUAAUUAAUUUGUUUUUGAGACAGAGUCUUGCUCUGUCACCAGGCUGGAGUGCAGUGGCACGAUCUCAGCUCACUGCAACCUCCACCUCUUGGGUUCAAGCGAUUCCCCUGCCUUAGCCUCCCAAGUAGCUGGGAUUACAGGCAUGCACCACCACGCCUGGCAAAUUUUUUGUAUUUUAGUAGAGACGGGGUUUCACCAUGUUGGCCAAGACACUCUCGAUCUCCUGACCUCGUGAUCCACCCACCUCGGACUCUCAAAGUGCUGAGAUUACAGGCGUGAGCCACCACGCCCGGCCAGCUUUUAUUUUAUAGUUUGGUGUUUCUAUGGGAGAUUUAGGGGGAAACCUUAGUUUCUUCUUUUGUCACAUAAUGUUUCCCGCCAUAUAGGAAAAGAUAAUAUUUUAAAAAAUUACAAAAUUACCCUAAAAAGGAGUUCCCUUUUCUUAAGAUACAUACAAGUUUUCACUCAGAAAAGUUGAAUAUUUUAUAUAUAUCUCCGGGAUUUUAGAUUUUUCACUUCAUGGACUGCAUGAUAAAUCUCAUUAAAUCCAUUUGAGAAAAGGUCUGUUCCUCUGUUUAAGAAUUGUUUGAAGACUUUGCAGGAAAUGAUAGUGUGGUAGUAGAUAAAUUCUAUCCCCUGCUUCACCUCUAACCACUGCACUCUUAGACCACGGACAACUUAUAAAAAUAAACUAUCACGUUGUAUUCAAUUAUUCAGGCAAGUGGAGGUUGUAAACCACCCUCUCCCUAAUUUCUCUGCCUCCAACAUAUUAAAACUACCACAUCUUGGCUCCAAGGAUUCAUGGACUGUUGAAUUUGCCCCUACCAAGCAGAGAUGGUGGACAGCAUUAUGAAUAAUAGCUGAUUUUAUUUUAAGUGGGAAUAAAGAGAACUAUAAAAAUCCUUUAACUGUUCCCUCCUACUUAUUAGUGUCUCAAAAUUUUUGACUCAUAACACAUAGAAAAAUCACAAGAUUUGCUUCAAAACAAAAAUAUUAAAAUAUUAAAACCCCAAGUGCAUGGUUUUCUAUAACGUAAUUCAGUUAUUGUAAACUCUGCUUUGUCUCAUAGGAAUACAGUUAUUCACUAAGAACCUUCAGAAGAAAGGAAAAAUAAACAUAUAAAUGUUAAGAUUUGUCCCAUUUCAUACCUCAUCUAGCAUGGUUUUUUUUCAAAUUACUACAUACAUGGCCCUUUUUUUUGCUAGAACUCUUUCCCCUGGAGACUGAAUUGUAGAGAUAACACAGAAUGGAAUGAUUUUUAUUUUAUAAUUAAAGACAGCUUCUUGGGUGUUAUAAUAAUGGUAAAAUAUAGACUGUGUCUAAAGCAAAAUACAGCAAACAAAUGCAAUAUUGGGGCUAUCUGGGCUUAAAAUGCAUUUUCUAUUGUAAUUACCUAACCAUUUCAGCAAAAAAGGGAAUUUUAUUAAGAUUUGAGUUAACUCAUUUAAUCUGGCCAUCUAUCGUUGUCAUUUUAAAUAUCCAUUUCAUUUUGAGUAUUUGGGCACACAUUUUGUUUAUAGGUACAUGGGAAAAUCUAGCACAUAAUUAAUAUAUUAAACUGGCUGUCUUUAUAUCACAACAUAGUCUAUUUAAUCUAUUAUGUUGUUUAACCAAAACCAAACUAUAAAAAGCAAGCAUGGAUAUAGUAGAUUUUUUCUCAGAAAAAAAGCUUGACUAUUAUUUUUAUGAAAUUGCAAAGAAUUACAAUAUUCUUUCACACUGCGUUUCAAGAAAAUGAGCAAAGGAUAUUUAUAGACAUGUUUUUGAUAGAUACCCCAGUGACAACGGAAGUCACUUUUAAAUUAUAAGGUAAAAUGUGAAACUAAUAGAUAAAAUUUGACAUGUUAAGAGUUGCAUCUUCCUCAAAUAUAAAGAUAAGAACCAAUGUAGUUUGAAAAUAGCAAAAGCGCUUUCACUAUCCUAUGGACAGAUAUUUUGGAAAACCUAUUACUUUUACCAAUUAAAUUUAAAACUGCACUGCCUGGUUGUUUCUUUGUUUAUAUAUUUGUAUUCCAUCUUAUUUUAAUAAAGUUUUAAGAGGAA